UACAGAGGUCCCAAGCGUUGUUCGGAUUCACUGGGCGUAAAGGGUGCGUAGGUGGUGAGGUAAGUCGGAUGUGAAAGCUCCGAGCUCAACUCGGAAAUGGCAUUGGAAACUACCUUGCUGGAGGGUUUGAGGGGGGACUGGAAUACUUGGUGUAGCAGUGAAAUGCGUAGAUAUCAAGUGGAACAUCAGUGGCGAAGGCGAGUCCCUGGACAACUCCUGACACUGAGGCACGAAAGCUAGGGGAGCAAACAGG
rnacentral:rRNA from 1 species